rnacentral:rRNA from 1 species
AGAGUUUGAUCCUGGCUCAGAGCGAACGCUGGCGGAAUGCUUAACACAUGCAAGUCGCACGCCCCGCAAGGGGAGUGGCGGACGGGUGAGGAACGCGUAGGAAUAUGUCCAGAGGUGGGGGACAACCCCGGGAAACCGGGGCUAAUACCGCAUAUGGGCCGAGGCCCAAAGCAGCGAUGCGCCUUUGGAGUAGCCUGCGUCCGAUUAGCUUGUUGGCGGGGUAACGGCCCACCAAGGCGACGAUCGGUAGCCGGUCUGAGAGGACGAUCGGCCACACUGGGACUGAGACACGGCCCCGACUCCUACGGGAGGCAGCAGCAAGGAAUCUUCCGCAAUGGGCGAAAGCCUGACGGAGCAACGCCGCGUGUGGGAUGACGCCUUUCGGGGUGUAAACCACUUUUUCUCAGGGAAGAAGCACUGACGGUACCUGAGGAAUAAGGACCGGCUAACUACGUGCCAGCAGCCGCGGUAAUACGUAGGGUCCGAGCGUUGUCCGGAGUUACUGGGCGUAAAGCGCGCGCAGGCGGCGGUAUAAGCAUGGCGUGAAAGCCCCAGGCUCAACCUGGGAGGGUCGUCGUGGACUGUACCGCUUGAGGGCGAUAGGGGCUGGUGGAAUGCCUGGUGUAGUGGUGAAAUGCGUAGAGAUCAGGCGGAACACCCGUGGCGAAGGCGGCCAGCUGGGUCGUCCCUGACGCUGAGGCGCGAAGGCGUGGGGAGCGAACGGGAUUAGAUACCCUAGUAGUCC